rnacentral:tRNA from 1 species
CAUUAAGAAGCUUUUAUAGCACUAGCCUUUUAAGCUAGGGAGGGGGGGUGCAUGCCCCCCCUUAAUGA